CAGGCAAGGGUCAAAACCAUAGGGAAGACAAUCCAAAGAAUAACAGAGUCCAAGAUACAGGCAGAAGGUCAGAACCAUAACACUGGAGAGAGCACUCAGAAAUGCAGCGUGACACUUACAAGACUUCGCAAAGAAUGAGUGAAAAAAAAAGGUUAUACAUAUGCAGAGCUUAACAAGCUUAUGACAUACAGCUGAAAGUAAUCAAGCAUAAUGAGUCCAUGCAGUGGGUUAUGGGAAUUGAAGUUGAUGAUGAGAUAGCCCAGGAGUCGGAAGGAGUGCCCUCUGGUGGACAUUAUGGGCACUCCAGCUGGCGGAUUUGACAAGAACAUAGGAAACACUGGGGUUUAAAUACACAAGAUAACAAGGGCUGGAACAAGGAACAGGUGUGGGUAGUGAUUUGCUAUGGAGACUAAUGAGGGUAACUAUGGAAACUGCUACUAGUCUGCUACACUGUUAUUGUCAACGGUUCCAUGUGUCUCUGUGUUCAAUAACUUUUAUUUUGAUAUUUUUUUGUUUGUUUGGUUGUCCUUAUGUUUCUGAUUUCAGUUCAUAUGUUUUAGUUCCUGUUUCCAUUUUCAUCUUGUUUUUUUUCCAAAAGUUACCUUUGUUUGUUAUAAUGUCAACUAAUCACCUACACCUGUCCUUCAUUUAGCCCCUUGUCAUCUUGUGUAUUUAAACCCUCAGUCUUUAUCUGUUCUUUGUCUUGUGUUAAAGUUUUGUGCUGGUAUCACUGGAUCAGUCCCGGGAUGAAGGAGACUGCCAAGUUGUCACUGUUUUGGCUAUGGAGGCCAAUUAUGAACUCCCUGAGCUUCCUGUCAUGUGUUGCCAUGGUAUCCAGCACCGAUAGAACCAUCAUGGUUCCAGGCUCCAAUGGUUUCAGGCUCUUCAGAACCUCCGUCGGGGUACUCUGCUCUGCAGUUUUGGUCUUCUGCUCCGCCGUGGGGGUCUUCUGCACCGCUGUAGGGGUCUUCAGCUCUGCCUGUUUCGCUGUGGGGGUCUUUUGCUCCACCUGCUCCACCAUGGGGGUCUUCAGUCCCAUCUACUCUGCUGUGGUGGUCUCCUGCACAUUCAGCUAAGCCAUGGAGGUCUCCCGCUCCACCGGCUCCUCCAUGGUCACUGCCAACUCCUCCGUGGCUUCCUGAUCUGUCAGCUCAGCACUUGUUUCCUGAACUGCCGGCUCCGCCUUGUUCUCUACGCCCACUUCCGCCACACGGGCACAGCCCCCCAACCCUCCCCCUGUUCUAACUCUGCUCCACCAUCCUCCUGGACGUUGUGUAAAGGGGGGGGGGUUGCCUGUGUCUCUGUGUUCAAGGAUUUUAAUUUUGAUGUUCUUUUUUCUUUAUGUUUCUGGUUUCAGUUCCUGUGAUUUAGUUCCUGUUUCCAUUAUCAUCUUGUUUGUUUCCAUAGUUACCUUUGUUUGUCACCAUGUCAACUAAUCACCUACACCUGUAUUUCAUUUAGCCCCUUGUCUUCUUCUAUAUUUAAACCCACAGGCCUCGUCUGUUCUUUGUCUUGUGUUAACGUUUUGUGCUAGUAUGUAUCUCUGUUUGGUUCCUAGUGUUUAUUAAAUGUUAUUUCAUCUUU